UUAUAACUUAUUAUUAUAAUAAAUGUUUCGUAGAUUGUGAGAAAAGUAAUUUAAAUGGGAAAAAAUGAGUAUUAAUUAAGAAAUUUAAACAAAGAUAAUAGUUAAUAGUAUUGUAAAAGAAUGUUAAUAUAUUAUUAAAUAAUUAAAUAAAAUAAAUUCAAAUGUGCCUUGUGUAUCAUAAAAUAAUAAAUUGAUUUUUAUAUAAAUUAAUCCCGAAAAAGAGGUAGUUAAAUUAUUAAAAAAGUUUUUGUAUUAAUAAAAUUAAUAAUAAUAAUUUAGAGGUGAAAUGUCAGUCGAACUUUUAUAUCUGGUUUUAAAUAAAAUGAAUUUAAUUCAAGCUCUAUUAAUUAAAAUAGGGUUAAAGAGCAAAGGGGUGAGCUUUUUGUUCAAUUGUAGAAUAAUAUAAAUUAAAAUAAAAUUUUAUUGAGAUUUAGGCCUAUAAGUAGCCAUUUUAAAAAAGUGUUUUAACUAAUACUUAGUAAUAUUUUAAUAUUUAAAAUAAUUUUAUUAAAAUAAUUUAAAACUUUUAUAAAUAAUAAUAUAAAGAUUAUUAUGUUAUUAUUAGUAUAAUUUAUAUUAUUUAAAAGUUUAUUUUAAUUUUUAAAGAGAUUAUAAAUUAAAUUGAUAUUUAAAAAGAACUCGGCAAAAAUGAUUCUUGCCUGUUUAACAAAAACAUGUCUAUAUGAAGGUGUAUAUAGUUUGGCCUGCUCACUGAUUAUAUUAAAGAGCCGCAGUAUUUUGACUGUGCGAAGGUAGCAUAAUAAAUUGUCUUUUAAAUGGAGGCUUGAAUGAAAGGUUGGACAAAGUAUCAUCUGUUUCUUAAAUAUUUAUUGAAUUUGACUUUCAAGUGAAAAGGCUUGAAUAAAUUAAAAAGACGAUAAGACCCUAUAAAUCUUUACAAUAAACAUAUUUUAUAUUUUUAUUUAUUAAGUGAAUGAGAUAUUAAAUUUGUAGUUGUUUCGCUGGGGCGGCGUAGAUAUAUAAAUGAACUGUCUAUAAUUUUAAAUACAAUAAUUAUUGAUUAAUGAGAUUGAUCCUUAAAUAGAUUAAAAGAUUAAGAUACUUUAGGGAUAACAGCGUUAUUUUUUCUGAGAGUUCUUAUCGAAGAAAAAGUUUGCGACCUCGAUGUUGAAUUAAAGUAUCUUUAUGGUGCAGUCGCUAUAAGAGAGAGUCUGUUCGACUUUUAAUACUUUACAUGAUUUGAGUUCAGACCGGCGUGAGCAGGUUGGUUUCUAUCUUUUGUUAAAUAUAAAAUUAUUUUAGUACGAAAGGACCAAAUAAUUAAAAAACUUUUAAAAUUUAGAAUAUUAGUAAAUCCUCUUAUUUUAUUAAUCUAUAAAUUAAUAAUAUUAUAAGAUAAUGAGAGGAAAGCAUUAUAA
rnacentral:rRNA from 1 species